UUUUUCAUUCAAUAGUUAAAAGUAGCGAACCACUAAUUUUUUUAUUGUACUAUUUGAUUUAUGCUUUAGUUUUACUCGAUGAAGAAGACUCUUGAAUUUUGAUUGAUUAUGUGAGAUGGUGCCGACAAGGGCUCAAACAACCAUGUACGUAUUUUGUAUUUCUUUUUCCAGCUAUAUUGUUAUGAAUAAAGUCUUAAGAAGGAUGUGUGUAUUGUAUUUUUCCUUCUCUAUUUAUUUU
rnacentral:lncRNA from 1 species